rnacentral:lncRNA from 1 species
AUUCUGCCUUUUUUUUUUUCUUUCCAUAAACUCCCCAUCCAGCCCCUGAGUUCUGUCAAUUCCAUUCUUAAACAUGUCUUGGGAUCCUUUUCUCUAUCCUUGGCACAAGCGGCUUACUUCAAAGCCUUUGUCAUCUUUCACUGGGAUUAUUACACUUCUAACAGAUCUCCCUAGCUCCAGACUCAUGUCUCUCUCUUAAAUUGGAACCUACUGUGUAACACAGGGAAAUCUAUCCAAUAUUCUUUGAUAAUCUGUAUGGGAAAAUAAUCUGAAAAAGAAUGUGUGCAAAUGUAUAACUGAAUCACUUUGCUGUACAGCAAAAAUUAUCACAACCUUGUAAAUCAACUUCAAUAAAAAGUAUAGUUGACUUACAAUGUUGUUAUUUUCAGAUGUAUAGCAAAGUGAUUCGGUCAUAUAUAUAUUCUUUUUCAGAUUCUUUCCCCAUAUAGGUUAUUCCAAACAUUGAGUAGAGUUCCCUAUGAUAUUUAAUAGGACCUUAUUACUUACCUACUUUAUAUGUAGUAGUAUGUAUUUGCUAGUCCCAAAUUCCCAAUAUAUCUCUCCCCUGUCCCUUUCCCCUUUCGUAACCAUAUGUUUGUUUUCUGUGUCUGUGAGUCUGUUUCUAUUUUGUAAAUAAGUUCAUUUGUAUCAUUUAAAAUGUUUUAAUUUGUAUCAUUUAUCAUUCUACAUAAAAGUGAUAUCACAUGAUAUUUGUCUUUCUCGGUCUGACUUAUUUCAGUUAGUAUCAUCAUCUCUAGGCCCAUCCAUGUUGCUGCAAAUGGCAUUAUUUUUUAUGGCUGAAUAAUUCUCCAUUUUAUAUAUGUACCACGUCUUCUAUACAAUUCAUCUGUCAAUGGACAUUUAAGUUGCUUCUGUGUCAUGGCUACUGUAAAUAGUGUUGCUAUGAAUAUUAGAAUGUUUUUGAAUUAGAAUUUUCUCUGGAUAUAUGCUGAUUGCUGGAUCAUCUGGUAACUCUAUUUGUAAUAUUUUAAGGAACUUCUUCCAUACGGUAUUCCGUAGUGGUUGUACCAAUUUUUCCAUUCCCACUAACAGUGUAGAAGAGUUACCUUUUUUCCACACCCUCUCCAACGUUUGUUAUUUGUAGACUGUGGGAAGCCGAGGAGAUGCAGGGACUCGAAAAAAAGGAGCUUGCCUGAUGGCAGAAAAACCUGAAAGCAGGUUCCUAACAAAGGAAGGGAGCUCACCUGAAUGGUACAAGCCAAAGGUGAGCUUCUGGUCAGGAUGAAAGCCUGCCUGAACUGUACAAGCCGAGGGCAGGCCUCAGGUUACACAGCUCUCAUUUUGAUGUUGAUGGGGAAGAAUUGGGGCUUUCCUGGGAAAACAAUUUCCAUGUUUGCGCUGGAGAACAUGGAUUGUUUCUCAGUUGACCUAGUCUUUCCUGUUCUUUUAUUUGUUAUUCAGUUUUCCUCAGUCUUUCCUGAUUAUUUGCUUAUUAUUCUUAUUUUCCAUUCUUAUUUUCCUGUGGUGAUUUGUGAUUUAACAAAGUUACAACAAUAAUAUAAUAAGAAUUUCAUCCUGAAGGACUUUCCCCUACUUAAAUCCAACUUAGUUAAAACAUAGUGUUUAUCUACUAACUAGUUAUAUAGUAAACUUUAGAGUUAGGAUUUUAAUGAGGUUAAUAGAAGUUAGACAUAUAUUAUCCAUGAAACCUAGCUGUGAGUUUUGUCCUUGAUUUUAAAAGCUUUUAAGUGAUAGCUAGUUAAGUUGGUUUAUAUUUUCUUACACUGUCUCCCUGCCAUAACGCUUGAAAGAUAAGCACCAGUCUAAAAACAAGAUUUGUGAAUGCCAAAUUCUUCAAAUUGUAAAGACUGGCUGGCCAUGGGAUGAUCUGUACUCUCUCCUCCUUUCCACACGAUGUAUUGUACCUAAUUGCCCUUAAAUUGUACUCACUAAGUUUAGUUAAGAUAAAGAUCUUAAAACACAAUGUAUUGUACCUAAUUGCCCUUAAAUUGUACCCACUAAAUUUAGUUAAGAUAAAGAUCUUAAAACAUGAUGUAUAGCUGCUAUACCAUGUAAUAGUUAACCAAUGUACUUUUAACACUGUGAUGUAAUCUGUAGUAAAAAGCUGUCUAUGUAAUCAACCACUUAUGCCAAUAAAAUUUGAGCAGUCCAGCACCCUGAAGGGACGAAGAGGCUGUCUCUGUAUGUACAUUCGCUGACGCUGUCCAUCUCUUAUCAGGAAAGUGUACACUCCCUGGCCGCCGGAGUUGGCCUCUGGCAGUAGACUUAUUAAUGAUGGCCAUUCUGACCAAUGUGAAGUGGUAUUUCAUUGUAGUUUUGAUUUGCUUUUCUCUAAUAAUUAGUGACAUCGAGCAUCUUUUCAUGUAUCGGCCAUUUGUAUCUGACUCACCUCUUUUAAUCCAUUAUCUUACAGAUGCCCACAGAUAAUAGAUUAUAUCACUCCUCUGCUUAAAACCCUUUGGUGAUUCCCACUGCCAGAAAACAUUCGGACUGCUUGACAUAGCUUACAAAGUUCUUAGUGAUCCAGUUCCCUGCUUAGCUUUCUAGCUUCGUGUUCUAUACUUCUUGACAAUGAGUCCUUUGUUCCAGCCACAUUGAGCUUCUAGUGAUAACAUAAAUACUUGUGCUCAUUCAAAUCAGCAAACAUGGAUUUGGUAUCUAGAAUUACUGGAUGCUAUGCUGAAGUCUGCAUAGUAUCAAUUGUAUGUUUAUGUAUUUCUUUCCUCCACUGGACUGUGACCUUCUGUCUCUUAAUAACUGGUAUAAAAUAGGAACUCAAUAAAUGAUAGAUGAAUAUAUGAAUGAGAUGAUGAUGGUAUAUAAACAUAACUUUAGAUCCCUUACAGAUGAAACACAGUAUUAAGCCCAACAUAGGCAUUCAAUAUAGGAGUUCCUGAUGUGGCUCAGUGGUAAUGAAACCAAUAAGUGUCUAUGAAGAUGUGGGUUUGAUCCCUGCACUCACUCAGUGGGUUAAGGAUCCAGCAUUGCAGUGAACUGUGGUGUAGGUUGCAGACGUGGCUUAGAUCCUGCAUUGCUAUGUCUGUGGCUUAGGCUGACAGGUGCAGCUCCAAUUUGACCCCUAGCCUGGAAACUUCCAUAUGCCGCAGGUGUGGCCCUGAAAAGCAAAACAACAACAAAAACAAAAAACCAAAAAACAUUCAGUGCAUACUCUUGAUGGGUUGUGUGCCAGUGCUCAAGCCAAGGAAGCUGGAAUGUUUGCGAAUUUAAACUUAUGAUCCCUCUGUGUUUUCACCUUUAUAAAACGCAUAAUCGAUGAAGUUUUUGGAACUGGUACUGGGUUUGCUUAUUCUCUGGUCCCUUUAUGGGUAGAAUUCUGAGGACUUCAGGCAGUCACUUGCUGAUACACUCUGGGUACGGUGUGGAGUCCCCUUGGGUUGAGCCUAUCCUAGAUCAUCCAUAUACUUGUUUAUUCAGAGCAAUAAGAUAAAUACAUGGAUUAGAACAUAAUUUAGAGGUGGAAACCUAUUCUGACUUUGGGUGGAGGUAGGGUGUGAACAUGUUAAGUGUAAAUAUGUAAGGUGAAGCCAGUAAAAGGAUUUCAGGAAAAGUCUAACUGGGGAGUUCUGUCUUCUAGUGAUGAGUAAGACUAGGAGAGGUGGUUACAUCCAUCUAGAGAUAGAGCUGUCACAUUAUCCAGGAGAGCCUGAUGGACUGGUUUUAUCAGCAGGUCCUCUAAGGGGAAAUCUUUUGUAUGACUCAGUCUUGACCCUGUGAGCCUCAAAGCAUUUAAAUGGGGGUGGGUAGCAAUGUUAAUGGUAGAAAAUAAUCAUUAAUCUCAAUGAUUAUCAACAUUCAUUGCUUUUCUUCUUUGUGAUGGAGUGUCACCAUCGACACUCAUUGACUCAUUCCUUGUCCAAAUUCCUCACACGCUACCAGCAAGAGCUACUGAGAUAUUGUUUGCUCUCAAGCUGCUAAGUGUUCUAGUCUUUUUUGCUGCUGCCCCCUGCCCUAUCUCUUUGUUACCAGAUCUCUUCUCUACUGUCACUUUUUAAAGGAUUUUUAUUUUUUUUUAAUGAUAGUUGAUUUACAAUGUUCUGUCAAUCUCCACUGUAUAGCAAAGUGAGCCAGUUAUAUAUGCAUUUAUAUAUAUACACAUACAUAUUCUUUUUCUUGCAUUAUCCUCCAUCAUAUACCAUCACAGGUAACUAGAUAUAGUUCCCUGUGCUAUACAGCAGGAUCUCAUUGCUUAUGCACUCCAAAUGCAAUAGUUUGCAUCUAUGAACCCCAGACUCCCAGUCCAUCCCCACUCUCCCCCUCUGCCUUGGCAACAAGAAGUCUGUUCUCCACGUCCAUGAAUUCAUUUCUUUUCUGUAGAUAGGUUCAUUUGUGCCAUAUAUUAGAUUCCAGAUAUAAGUGAUCUCAUAUGGUAUUUCUUUCUCUUUCUGACUUUUCACUUUUUUGCUGCUGGUAAUUUUUGUGCCCUUGGCGGCUUCUAAUCUCUCAUGUUGUAUUUUCUAGCCACCACUUCUGCAGCUUGUCAUUCUUUUCCUUCUGUGUUUCACCUUUUAUUUUCGUUUUGUAAUCUCUCUUUUGCCUGACUGUUGAAGAUGAGGCUUAGCUUUUCUAGUGAUUUCUACCCAAGUACGCCUCUUCUGCCUUGUUUUUAUUACCGCCAAAUGUUCAGUUGCUUCUUGGCUAAAAACAACAUCAUCCAUGGGUUUGAUGUGUGAGGUCUGGUGUAUGGAGAAGCAAGGUAAGGUGAGACUCUUCAUCCAUUAGACAGAAUAUUUGCAUAUUCUCUCCCUAUUCUAUUAGACAUAGAGCCAUUUUAUUUAAGGAAAAGUUACUGCAUUCAUGGUCUAGUGAGGGAGACAGAAAAUGUAAUCACUAAUGUACCUAACUCUUCUAUACUAGAGGAUAAGCUCCUUGAGGAUGGGAAAUAUGUCAUAUUAAUGACUACUAUUUAUUAUAUAUUAUUUAAUGUAUAUUAUGUGUGUGUAUAUAUAUGUUUAUAUUUAUACAUAUACACAAACAUACAGCAUCUGCAGCUCAUUUAGUGUUCAGAGCAUGUUUUUUUGGAUAAAUGAAAGAAUGGCUGAAUAAUAAGAUAAAUGGCAAAGGUAUCAGGGUGUUGUUCUCAUUAGAAUCUCUUCAAUCUCAUUAAAGACACAUUGAUCCUGGGAGUUUCCAUUGUGGUUCAGUGGGUUAAGGACCGGACAAUCUCCUUGAGGAUGCAGGUUCAAUCCCUGGCUUCAUUCAGUGGAAUAAGAAUCUAGCAUUGCCACCAGGUGAGGCAUAGGUCUCAGUUGUGGCUUGAAUCUGGUGUGGCUGUGGCUGUGGUAUAGACUGGCAGCUGCAGCUCCGAUUCGACCCCUAGCCUAGGGAUUUUCAUAUGCCAUGGGUGUGUCCCUAAAAAGAAAAAAUAUAUAUAUCCAGGGUUUCAUGGACUCGAUCACUUUACUUCUGCUUCAGGGUUGCCCACUUCCAGGCGACACCGCUCACCCCGUAGUCUCUGGGAGUGGUUUCCAUCGAUGGCACUCAGCGGUGAGGGGGUCACUGGGCACUGUGUUGCCUUCCUGUCUCAUUUGUGUGUUUACAUAGACCUUUGGAGGCCCUGUCCUUUUCUGUGGAAUGGGUCCCACAGAAGGAAGGUCAAGUUUCCUGGCUAAUUUUGGAGGAGGUAUUUCAUUUUUUCAAUUUUUUUUAUUUUUAAUUUUUGAUUGGGCCAGUCUUCUGUUGGAGGCAGCAUGAUCCCAUAGUUGAUAAGACAGCUUUCGAACAAAACCGUGAGUUUAACUCCUGACCACCACUUAAGCUGUAUAAAUGGUCUGUGGUUUAUGCCUCCGUUCAUUUUCUCUUCUGGAAAAUGGGGAUGAUAAUAGUACUGAUUUCCUUGAGUUGCUGUCAGGAUAAAAUAAUUUAAUGUGAUAAAGCUUCUCAAACAGCAUGCCACAUAGUAGGCACUCAAAAAUCUUAGCUAAUAUUAUUUGCUCAGCCCUUUCUAUGUGAUAUGAAGUCAGUAUUUCUUUACCACGUGUAAUUUCCUGCUUCCCAAGACUCGCUUGUUAUUUUGGGUCCAGGAAUUAUUAUUUGUUUGGCUAUAAAGAGGAGAAUGAUGGUAGAUGAAUGCUAAUCAUUUUGUAGCAAUGCUCGUCUCAGGUUUGAUUGUGUUCCUGAAUUUCAAAAUUACCCCCAGCUUUGAUGAUAAUUUUUUGCUUUCCUAUGUACUAUUUGGCAGAAUAUGGUGCAAUUCACAGGAGGAUGAAAAUUAAUUUGAUGGAAUCUGUUUCAUUAUAUCAUUAAGCAUCAGCAUUCUUUGGAGGGAGUUCCCGCUGUGGUGCAGUGGAAACGAAUCUGACUAGUCUUCAUAAGGAUGCGGGUUCCAUCCCUGCCCUUGCUCAGUGGGUCAGGCAUCCGGCAUUGCCAUGAGCUGUGAUGUAGGUCACAGGUGGAGCUCUGAUCCCGCAUUGCUGUUGCUGUGGUGUAGGCUGGCAGCUACAGCUCCCAUUAGACCCCUAGCCUGGGA